UACAGAGGGUGCAAGCGUUGUUCGGAAUCAUUGGGCGUAAAGGGCGUGUAGGCGGUUUGUUAAGUCAUGUGUGAAAUCCCCUCGGCUCAACCGGGGAACGACGCUUGAAACUGGCAAGCUAGAGUACCAAAGAGGGCGGGUGGAAUUCCCGGUGUAGCGGUGAAAUGCGCAGAUAUCAGGAGGAACACCGGUGGCGAAGGGCGGGGU
rnacentral:rRNA from 1 species